rnacentral:rRNA from 1 species
UGCAAGUCGAGCGAACAGACGAGGAGCUUGCUCCUCUGACGUUAGCGGCGGACGGGUGAGUAACACGUGGAUAACCUACCUAUAAGACUGGGAUAACUUCGGGAAACCGGAGCUAAUACCGGAUAACAUGUUGAACCGCAUGGUUCAACAGUGAAAGACGGUCUUGCUGUCACUUAUAGAUGGAUCCGCGCCGCAUUAGCUAGUUGGUAAGGUAACGGCUUACCAAGGCAACGAUGCGUAGCCGACCUGAGAGGGUGAUCGGCCACACUGGAACUGAGACACGGUCCAGACUCCUACGGGAGGCAGCAGUAGGGAAUCUUCCGCAAUGGGCGAAAGCCUGACGGAGCAACGCCGCGUGAGUGAAGAAGGUCUUCGGAUCGUAAAACUCUGUUAUUAGGGAAGAACAAAUGUGUAAGUAACUAUGCACGUCUUGACGGUACCUAAUCAGAAAGCCACGGCUAACUACGUGCCAGCAGCCGCGGUAAUACGUAGGUGGCAAGCGUUAUCCGGAAUUAUUGGGCGUAAAGCGCGCGUAGGCGGUUUUUUAAGUCUGAUGUGAAAGCCCACGGCUCAACCGUGGAGGGUCAUUGGAAACUGGAAAACUUGAGUGCAGAAGAGGAAAGUGGAAUUCCAUGUGUAGCGGUGAAAUGCGCAGAGAUAUGGAGGAACACCAGUGGCGAAGGCGACUUUCUGGUCUGUAACUGACGCUGAUGUGCGAAAGCGUGGGGAUCAAACAGGAUUAGAUACCCUGGUAGUCCACGCCGUAAACGAUGAGUGCUAAGUGUUAAGGGGUUUCCGCCCCUUAAUGCUGCAGCUAACGCAUUAAGCACUCCGCCUGGGGAGUACGACCGCAAGGUUGAAACUCAAAGGAAUUGACGGGGAC